rnacentral:rRNA from 1 species
AUGAUGACAGCGGCACGCAUCUUGGUGAGGCAACGGCCACGGGCGUGCCCUCCUCUGCGCUUCCUCUUGAAGUACCCUCUGCUGCCGCGUGCUCGUCCUUCGUGUGUUGCCACACCGUGGAGACGGGUACACGAACUAGGCGGGCCACGGGACGACAGCUGCUCGAGCACCCACCUCGUGAGGAGGGGUUGA